rnacentral:lncRNA from 1 species
CUCAUAUUUUGACUUACAUCUAGAAAUUUACAAAAGGGGUUGGUUAAUAUCAAACCCUUACAACAAAAGAAAUGAUUUCAGCUUCCAAAUUGUGACCUGUCCAUUUCUUUGUAGAUCACCCCAAGUUUUUGUGGGGUCGUGUUGCUCAGUCUCUAGUUUUCUAUGUUGUGUGACUGUCUGUGUUCUGUUGAUUGUCUGUUAAUCCUUUUCUUUUUUAGUCUGUAGUCUUUUUCUUUUUUAGCCAUGGCUUUAAAUUGUCAGUUUAUUUUUGACUUAUGAGUUUGAAUGCCCCCUGGUGUCCUUCCAUCUUUUACAAGGCAGGACAACGGGACGCCAGUAUUUCUAUGUCCUUAGCAAUGCUUUGUUUAGGAACAAAUUCCACAUGAUAUGAGUUGUGUCAGACAGAAAUUGUCCUACAAGUAAUACAUAUAAAUAACAAUACAUCUGUUAACCUUAUUCAGGUUGAAUCAAAUCUAUUUGAAAAGUUUCUAACUGUUUGAAGAAAAAAAUGUUGAAAAUUUAGUUGUUAUAAGAACCAUACAAAACCGCCAAAAAUUAAUCUUUUAUUUUGAAUUUGAAUUUUCCAAAAUUAAUCAAAGUCGUA